rnacentral:rRNA from 1 species
GGAAUUGUUCGCAAUGGGCGCAAGCCUGACGACGCAACGCCGCGUGGAGGAUGAAGAUCUUCGGGUCGUAAACUCCUUUCGAUCGAGACGAAUUCCUCUGGGGUGAAUAAUCCCGGAGUUUGACGGUACCGAGAUACGAAGCCCCGGCUAACUCCGUUCCAGCAGCCGCGGUAAUCCGGGGGGGGGCAAGCGUUGUUCGGAAUUACUGGGCGUAAAGGGCUCGUAGGUGGCCAACUAAGUCGGACGUGAAAUCCCUCGGCUUAACCGGGGAACUGCGUCCGAUACUGGUUGGCUUGAGUUUGGGAGAGGGAUGCGGAAUUCCAGGUGUAGCGGUGAAAUGCGUAGAUAUCUGGAGGAACACCGGUGGCGAAGGCGGCAUCCUGGACCAAUACUGACGCUGAGGAGCGAAAGCCAGGGGAGCAA